rnacentral:rRNA from 1 species
AUUGAACGCUGGCGGCAUGCCUUACACAUGCAAGUCGAACGGUAACAGGUCUUCGGACGCUGACGAGUGGCGCACGGGUGAGUAAUGCAUCGGAACGUGCCCAGUCGUGGGGGAUAACUGCUCGAAAGAGCAGCUAAUACCGCAUACGACCUGAGGGUGAAAGCGGGGGACCGUAAGGCCUCGCGCGAUUGGAGCGGCCGAUGUCAGAUUAGCUAGUUGGUGGGGUAAAGGCCUACCAAGGCAACGAUCUGUAGUUGGUCUGAGAGGACGACCAGCCACACUGGGACUGAGACACGGCCCAGACUCCUACGGGAGGCAGCAGUGGGGAAUUUUGGACAAUGGGCGCAAGCCUGAUCCAGCAAUGCCGCGUGCAGGAAGAAGGCCUUCGGGUUGUAAACUGCUUUUGUCAGGGAAGAAAUCUUCUGGGCUAAUACCCCGGGAGGAUGACGGUACCUGAAGAAUAAGCACCGGCUAACUACGU